GGCACCGCCCCGGUACCGCCCCGCCCGGCGCCGGGCACUGCCCCCGGCACCGCCCCUGGCGCGCUCUUGCCCCCUCCGGCAGGACUCUUACCGGUAACGCAGAUCAUGCGCGUCCUUCAUUUGCCGAAGGCUGACUACAACAAAGUGUUGCCUGCAUGAACGCCACAACGAGAAGGCUCAGAUACUCGGUCAUGCCAGGCGGGGCUGUGAUUGCCAGAAAAAAUUAACUUCUCAAGUGUUCGCUUUAUUUACGGAUGGCUGUGCUUACCACAGGAGAGAUCAAGACUUGAACGAAGUCCCUUUAGAAAGCCAGCUGGAAGAGCAUCUCUGCACUGCAGUGAAAAGCUGCGGCUCUGGAAAGCUACCAUGUCAAAAACAAGCAGCAAGUACUAAGUCUGAAUCACCAGAAAACAGAAGGUAUUUCUAUCAGCUGGUAUGAAAAUAUCUGAAUAUUUUCCACCUUCAUGUGUUGUUGUCAUCUUUUCCUUCCACGACCUACAAUCCUACUUUCAUGAUAGAAUUUAAUGUGCAUUAGCAUUAAUUUUCAGGUUUACUAUUUUAUUCACUUAUUUGCCUGUUCAGUGCAGUCCUCUAAAAUUAAAUUAUUGCUUCCAUGCAGGUUACAACA